UGCUUUCUGGUUAGGGGCACCGCAUGGCAGGCCUAUGAAUGUUUGUUGAAGCUUUGAUGACUAAGGCGUUGCGGGUUCGAUGCCGUCGAUGGCGUC
rnacentral:tRNA from 3 species